GACUUCCUCUUUUCUAUGUCCUCCCUUCAUGACUUUCUGUGGCUGGAGGCUGGUGUCUGGGGGUAGAGUCCCCGGUGUCUGGCUGCUGGGCUGUUCCUCAGUCCUCAGGUUCUUAACCUUGCUCUUCCACCUUGGAAGUUCUCCUAUGCCUGUUCCUCAUGAUAUUUCUCGGGUUCACAGUUGUACUUCUUAAGGAGGCACAGGAUGAGAUGAUUCUGUACCAUCUGGACAAGGUUGAAUCUUUUCUUAGACUUUGAUCGACCCACUGGUACUCAGACCAGGGCUGCCAUUUUUGGAUUCUUUCAGUGUGUCUGACAUAGCAUCCUGGCUCAUAUGCUAAGUCUGGAAAUGCAUUUUAGGUUGUCUAGGCUGGCAGGCAAACUGCAGGAUGCCUUCUAUGAUGUGCUGCAUCAGUGACGUGGGAGCCUAGUAAGAGACUGUGCACUAGGGUUAGGUGAGAGUUCCCUUUUGACUCACAGUCACUUUGUAGUUUGGCCUUCUCUCUUCAAGUAAUAUUUACAGCUUGGAUUGUGUAGAGUUUACUUUUCCUUUGUUGUUUCUUCUUUUGGCUUGGGGAGGAUAUUUGUAGAGACAAGCAGCUGUGCUAAUGCAACUGUCCCCAGCAACUCCGAAGUUAGCUGACAAUCUUUGAGUGCUUUGACCCAAAUGUCUCCUCCCACAUCUCAGGGUCCCACAACUUCCCCAUCAGGGCCCUACCCUAGCAUAGCAGCCAUUGAAACUGAGAUCAUCCUCCAUUAUGAUUCUGCUACUCUUCUAUGAUGCCCAGGACCCAAUCCUCUAUUCCUUCUGCCCUGUGGCUCCAAAAAAUAAGAAUCUACAGUGCUGCCAAGAAGUUCUCUGGCUUCCACACUGAACCUUAACUGAUGGUGAAUCACUCUUACCUUCUCAUUGUCUUUCUCACAAGGAUUGAUGCCCAGCAACAGCUGACACCUUAGUUCUUAUAAUUACCAUUUCCUAAUCAGUUUUCACAAGACUGAUGGCAAGGAAUUUCCUUCCCAUGGUUACACUAUCCCAGUUUACUGCCAGUGAAAAUGUUAUCAAUUGCAACACAACAGCAAGUCAGGGCUGGUCCAGCUCCACUCACCACCAGCCCUGGGGUCCUCAUUACCAGCUGAUGAGUAAUCAAAUUGCACACACACUUAUAUUUUACAGUCUGCUUUCCAAACCACUUCCCAAGGUCAGUUUCUCUGAGAGGCCAACUGGGGAUGGAUAAAGGAAUGCAGGAAGCAUCCUAGAAUGCUAUCAGAGUCAACAUGCCUCAGGGAAUGAGGAGGCAGGAGUGUAGGAGGAGGGAGGUGCUGAGCCACAGUGCAGGCAGGACAAAUACAGAGCUGCUCCUGCAGAGAGGCCAAAGGCUGGAGGGUCCUGUAGAGUUCUUUUAAAUUGAAGGGAGGGGCUGCCCUUCAUAUUCCCAAUACAGGCUAUCUCUCAUGUGCGCUGCCCUCUAGAAGGAGUAAACUUGGGCAAUGCAACUCUCCUUAAGGGACAGAAAGCCCCAGAGAGCCACCCAGCUGAGAACUGCCGGCUUGUAACACUCCAGCAGUCACAGUUGCUGAGGUCUCCAUUUCUCGCUUAAGGACCCACCAGCACCAUUUUUUUAUAUAUAUAAAAAAAUUAAUACCUUUAUUUGUUGCUUUUAACAUCCAAAUCCCUUUACUUAAAAAAUGCAAACAGUCCAAACAUGUGCUUCUGUAGAUCUGACUCUCUGUGCCCAACAGAAAGAUUUCAGAUGACACCUGCACUGGAGUUGAGGUGGGAUAGAUGAUGUCUGAGGCCCUCCCAAGCAUGAUACCCAUUCCCUGACUCACCAGGGAAUUUCCCAGCCAGCAGGUUUCAUUGGGUCUUGUCCCUGGAGGGCUCCCUGAGAUCAUGAGAAUAUGGAGUCAUCCCCAUACCGCUGAGGCUAAGAAGGGCAGCGUGCAACUCUGUCACUCUGAAUCCAUCCUCACACCACCUGCCCACCCUUUCCUAAUCAUUCUUAUGACCCUGGGGUGUUGGACUGGUCUUGGACUCACGAGUCACCCUUGGGGACAUAAUGAUGGGCUCCCCUAGGUUUGGAUCCCACUAAUCUCCUGGCACUCCCUAAACUCUCUGGCCUCAGUUUCCCCAUCAGAAUGGAAUAAUAAUCCCUGCCCCACAGGCUUGUGAGGAUCAAGUGAGGAACCCAGUUGCCAUACAUAUGAACACCUGAGUAUACACUCUUUCCACCUUUUCCCUCCAGGAGGAUAAGCUGACAGCCUGGGACAGGGUGAGUAAGAAUGAGGAGCCACUUUCCCUGGCCUUUGCUUUUGGCUAGAGUCUGGGAAGCCAGAGCAGGAUGCAAGUUCAAAAGCUUCAGAGCAUUUUGGGCCCAGGUAGCCUCAGAUGGGGUAAGUGGAGGCCCCUGAGACGAGCUCCCAGGUGGCCCCUCUCAUGGCUCCUCCUCUUCCCUGAUUUCCAGGCCUGGCACUGGCUCCUACUGCUCCACUCCUCAUAGCUCUCCUCCUGGGCCCCAAGGUGCUACUGGUGGUUGGUAUCUCUGCCGUCUACAUCUGCUGGAAACAGAAGGCCUGACUUUCCUUCCUUCCUCCCCUGCCAUGUGGGACCCUCAGUUUCUGCUGCCUUUUUCCUUACUUGAGAGGCUCACCCUGAGAGAAGCAGCCAGCAAGAACCUUCUCUAGACUCAGCUCCAAACGCCUCCAAUCCCAGGACAUCUGCCUGCCCACAGGCUCCCGUUGCUCCUUCACAAGACCAUGAUGCCCCAGAGCAGGGUCUCCAUUAAUGGAGACCUGAGCAGGGGCCAUGGGAUUGGGCUCUGGGCACUGACUCACGGCACCUGCCUAAAAUGAAUAAUACCCUGAGUGAUCAUGUGUUGUCAGCACUUUGUGGAACAUGGCACCUAUCCCAACAUUGCUGUGGAGGCUGCUCCUAAUUGAGAUUAUGGCUUCUUCUCUGCUUCCUUCCUGAGAGAUGUCUCUCCCUUCUUAUGAGAGGUGUCAUAGUACAACCAUUAACAGUGAAGGCCGUGGAGUAUGACAACCUGUGUUCUAAUUCUAAAAGCUGGGUGAUGUUGAGCAAAUUUAUUAUUGCCUAUGUGCCUCAAGUUUCCUCACCGGUAAAAGAAAGUUAAUGGUAGUGCUAAUCUCAUGGGGUCAGAGUGAGGAAUUAAUGAGGUAACUGACAUGAAAUGCUUAUUACAGUAACUGGAGCACAGGACAUCUGCAAUAAACAAUAGCUGCUACUACUCUUCAUGUCAUAUAGAGACUAGUUGCUUGUUUUAAAGUGUAAUUUGACAUCGAUUACCAUGAUUUUAUUAUUUUUAUAUUCACUUCUGUGGGUGUGGAACAGGAGGUGAUGAUUUCACCCUCUCCGCAUCUGCCACAUUGAAAAAGAAAUUUGGAUGGAAAUGUAAUGACGUUUAAAUUUUCAUUUGACAACUACUCGUGAUAGGUGAAGGACCGUAAACCCAGCCUGGGAGAGAGAGAUUUCCAGACAAGUCUUUCCUAGUCAUAGAUGAAGGAGGAGAAAACAUUUCUCCUAACAAGGUAAUUUUUCUAAAGCACAAGCAUAUCAGGGAAACAGUGAACUCUUCCUGUACACAAAUAUAAUUAUAGCCACAAUUUUUUGGUUACAAUUAAAUAUGAAUCAGGCCUUGUGUAUGGUUUAUAUUACUCUUACCAUAUCACUACAAGGUGCAUGUUAUAACAUACAUGUACACAUAUUUAAAUUAGGGCUUAGAGAAGUCAAGUGUCUUGUUGAAAGUCACACAGCUGGAGAUUGUAAGAAAAGUAAUUCAUCUACAGAUGGACAAGAAACAGGGUGAAGAGGAUCCAGAGGGAGCAACUGAUCUCAGAGUGGCAGGGGUAGUCCAAGUACACCAUAUAAGCUGGGUCCCAGAAGUCCUGGGAAGCUGGGGGAAGGCCACUGGUGGGAAACUCAGCAUGCAGUAGGAAUCCAUAUAAAAGCAAUAUUUUGAGUUCCUCUCUUCACCUGGCACCAUGAGUAUCAAUAAUGACCUACUGAGUCUCAGGCAUGUAUAGUCAUUACCUCCUUUGAAGUCCACUAAAACAUGGCAGUGAGACUUAUUAUCCCAAGGUUAGAAGGCAAAACUGAACCUAGGAAGGCCCAGUAACUUCACCAACUCCUUAGCACACCCUUAGUCAGGGUAUUUAUUCUCCCGCCCUCCUCAGUUCCCAUCUGAACACAGUGAUGAAUGGAAUAGGUGUUCUGUGUACAGAGCAAAGAGUAUUGAAAUUGAUGUGACUGCCCCAGGAAUCUGCCCUCCAUAUUCUCCCCCAUAAUAAGCCUAUACCCUCUCCAUAACCCAUAAUCCCUACCUCACCCCACAAAACAGAUCCUUAUUACCCUAAGCCCACUUCCUUUCCUGGAAGAAGUCAGGAAGUAAUUCCUUCUUCUGGGUACAGGCACAUGAAAGUGCUAAGGUCCACAUGAAACUAAACUUGGGCAAAGUUUUGCCAGUUAUAUUGAUAAAAGUUUGGAAUGGGGAACCAUUUCAAGAGCAGACCUGAUUCUUCUCCAACACUGAGCAGGUCCUGUGAUCCCUCCUCCUGUCUCCAAAUGAGUAGCAUGUGGUUGAAGCUGGUGCAGAAUGAGACCACAAGCCAACCACAUCCUGGGGUCUUGAGAUGGAGAGUUUAGGAAAGAUUUCAUAACCACAAGUCCUUCUUGGCUGAAGAGCACCAAAUGGCAAAUCAUCAAGAAGACAUAAAGAUGGGAUGAGGAGCCAUGUGGAAGGAAGUCAGACCCCAAGUGGGAAGGAGAAGCACGUUACUGCCUCGCUCCAUCACAGCCACUUCCUCUUGAACCGAGGGAGGCAAGGCUUGUCUUCUCUCCUCAGAGGCGAGCCUGCGAUCUUCCCAGUACAGAAGUUUGGACAGAGCAGGCUCCUAAGGUCUCCAGAAUGCCCAUCCCAGCCUCCUGGCCCCACCUUCCUGGUCCUUUCCUGCUGAUGAAUCUACUGUUGGGGGGACUAACAGGUGAGCAUUGCUUUGGAUUAAAAUGCUUUUUCCCUGCC